rnacentral:rRNA from 2 species
UACCAGCACCCCGAGUGGUCGGGACGUUUAUUGGGCCUAAAGCAUCCGUAGCCGGUUCUACAAGUCUUCCGUUAAAUCCACCUGCUCAACAGAUGGGCUGCGGAAGAUACUAUGGAGCUAGGAGGCGGGAGAGGCAAGCGGUACUCGAUGGGUAGGGGUAAAAUCCGUUGAUCCAUUGAAGACCACCAGUGGCGAAGGCGGCUUGCCAGAACGCGCUCGACGGUGAGGGAUGAAAGCUGGGGGAGCAAACCGG